rnacentral:snoRNA from 1 species
CUGUCUCAAAAGCCAAGCAACCCCGUGUGGGCCUAGUGUGCAGUGGUUACAAAGAGUGGCUUUCUUGGUAGUUUUACAUAGCCUUUUGCUUAUAUGGGUUGUCCUAAGGGACAGACCUUGGAGACAAUU